rnacentral:rRNA from 1 species
GAUGAACGCUGGCGGCGUGCUUAACACAUGCAAGUCGAACGGUGAAGCAGGAGCUUGCUCUCGUGGAUCGGUGGCGAACGGGUGAGUAACACGUGAGCAACCUGCCCCUGACUCUGGGAUAAGCGCUGGAAACGGCGUCUAAUACUGGAUAUGUGAUGUGACCGCAUGGUCUGCAUCUGGAAAGAAUUUCGGUUGGGGAUGGGCUCGCGGCCUAUCAGCUUGUUGGUGAGGUAAUGGCUAACCAAGGCGUCGACGGGUAGCCGGCCUGAGAGGGUGACCGGCCACACUGGGACUGAGACACGGCCCAGACUCCUACGGGAGGCAGCAGUGAGGAAUAUUGCACAAUGGGCGGAAGCCUGAUGCAGCAACGCCGCGUGAGGGAUGACGGCCUUCGGGUUGUAAACCUCUUUUAGCAGGGAAGAAGCGAAAGUGACGGUACCUGCAGAAAAAGCACCGGCUAACUACGUGCCAGCCGCCGCGGUAA